AAAAUCCUGUUAAAUAACUUGUCAGGUUUCAGCUGGAACAAAUGAUAAGCAUUCCUGGCUGUACCUCACCCCUUGGAUACAGAGGAGUCUUCAGAGAAGAUAUAAAAACUACCACCCUCUCAAGACCCAGGGCCUUUCCCGAAGAUAAGCCAAAUGAAAGACUCAUUUCCUCUGAGAACCGGCAACAGUCACAGGACCUGAGCUGUAUGCAAAUGAAGCGUGACCCUUCUUCUGUCCAGCCAUAACCUCAUCAGUUUUGAGGGCUCCACUCUCACGUUGGGCAGGCAAAAUUCUCAGGACACAAAAGACAAACAAGAAGGCAAUAGUUGCCUCUUUUGGGAGAGGAAAGAUCCAUAACUCCUGGGUCUGAAUUGGGGAAGAAUGGGGCAAUGUAAAACUUCAUUUUACCCUCGUAAUGGAGCAGUCCAGAUGGGGAUCCAAGAGAACUGACUCUGGAUUUCUCCUGUGGUUGGAAUGGCUAAAGUAACGUGAAAUGUGAUACUGGCUCUUGAUCUUGGCAAUUACAUGGACAUUGGAUGCUAGAAUUUUUAUAUAAAGGACCACUUUUAGUAUUUUCUCAGCCUAUGAUUUUCCAGAGUGACCAGCAAGAUUAUAGUUCAUCCAAAUGAAAGAAGACCUGCGCUUUCAAGUGUUCAUGGGUCCUCAGAUAGACCCUUGUCUGAAAAAUACAUAUUUUUCAUUGAUCGACUGAUUCAUUCAUUCAUGCAUGCCUUCUCUUAUGUGAAAGGGGAAUCCUAUUAUGGUAAGCUUUCCUUUAUCUAAAUUUGAGAGCCCUGGGCUUCUUCAGGAAUCUCACAUUUAUGUCAAUUAAGACUAAGUUUAGUGAUAUGUAACAGAAAACACUAAAACAGCAGUAGCUUAUGAACACUCAAGAAAAUAGAUUAAUUUUCUCUCAGGUAAAAAACACAAAAACAAAAAUAAAAACCCAACUGAUAAACAAAACCUGAAAGUAGUUAGUCUAGGAUGGUCAUGAUAGCUAAUUCAAUAGUUGUUACAAACCCCCAAUUUCCUUCUAUAUUUAUGCUCUGCCAGCUUUAAAGUAAAGCAUUUAUAACUAAGACUACCUAAUUACAAAUGAGUGAUGCAUCCUUUGGUUCCCUACUCCUGGCAGAAGAAAAUGAAAGAAAGAGGAAAAUAUGCUCCUAACAGCACUCUCCUAUGAAGAAAUUUAAGAGGUUACCCACUUGUACCUAAACUUGUACAUCACUGGGCAGAAUUUAUGUUUCCAUCAUUAUUUCUCUCUGGAAGUAUGGCUGGAAAUUUAAUCAUUAGCUAUACAUAUGGCCACUGAAAUAAAAUUAAGAUUCAAUAAUUAAGAUUAAUGGGAAAUGUAUAUUAAAUAGGCAAAGUAUUUUGUGCUACCUGAAGCCAAACUCUUUUUUUCUCUUGUUCACUGCGUACAUUGACCCUAAAACUUGAAAUCAAGGGUAUUGCCAAAGAAAACAAAAGACACUACCCUCCAAGGACCAAAAUAGCAUCAACUUUACCUUAAAACUAGUAAUAAAAGGUCCCAUCAUGUUUUAAAACCUUCCAUUACUUGUAAACCUGGUUGUAUACUCAAAAAGUUUUUUGUAAUAUUUUAACAAGUGCUUUGUUGUAAGACAUUAUCUCAGAAUAUAGCAGUCUUCCACUUAAAGUGAAUGAUGUGAUUCUAAAAACCCGUGUGAAAAUAUUUAAGGGAAAAAUACCUAUUCAUCAUCACUUUAAAUGGGAAAAAUCAUAAGGCAUUAAACUAAAUCAAAACUCUCAAUCAAUUUCCUAAAUCAUUACUAAAUGCAGUAAAAUGCUUACUUAUAAGUUAUAAAAUACCAUGUUUAGAUGUAAAAAUGCUUAAAAACUUUGCUUCCUAAUCAUCAAUUAAUGCGAUUGUUAAAUUUAUUUUGUAUGCAGUAAAAUGUACAGUUUGCAUGUCGCACCAUAAACAUUUUGUUUAUGAUAUGGAAAGGCCAAUAACACAUAACAAUAAAUACAUUUGUGAGAAAAACUGCAUGUAAAAAUUUACAAUAAAAUGGCAAUUUCCUGUAAUAAACUGUAACUCACCAGUUGAAAUGGAAAUUUGAUUUGAAGAAAGCUGAGAAUUGAGGAGUGGAGGAGGUUCGAACAGUCAUUAAUUUUCUCUGUUUACAGAAGUUGAUGGUACAGACAUGUCAGGUGAAAAGGCAGCAAAUUCAGGUAAACUAUCCAACUCAGAAGAACCAAUACAGAUUCUCUGAUGUUCUUGUGCUUUUGUAAGAACUUGUGAACAGAAAAGUUUCAAGGGAGAUGUCCAAAGACUUGGAAUGAAAAAAGUGUAAAUGGACCUUUGUUUGCAGUUCUAAUUGAAACAUCAAAAAAUUUUUCUGUAAUGUCAAUUUAAAGAAAGUUUUCCCAUUCUAUUGCCAUAUUAUUAAAGAAAGAUAUUUACUAUUGCAUCAACAUAACUGAUUCACUAUAAAUGCCAACAACAUCUGAGAUUCAAAUCCCCUUUUGAACCAUCAGUGUGCUUUUCAAAAUGCCUAUAUAGGAUUAUUAUGACAUUCUACUCAUUGUUUCUGGAAUGUAAUUCAAAGUUUAUUUUUGCGGGGGAGGGAGGAGUUACUGCACCUGCAGCAUA